rnacentral:rRNA from 1 species
UACGUAGGGUCCGAGCGUUGUCCGGAAUUACUGGGCGUAAAGAGCUCGUAGGUGGUUUGUCGCGUUGUUCGUGAAAACUCACAGCUCAACUGUGGGCGUGCGGGCGAUACGGGCAGACUAGAGUACUGCAGGGGAGACUGGAAUUCCUGGUGUAGCGGUGGAAUGCGCAGAUAUCAGGAGGGAACACCCGGUGGCGAAGGCGGGUCUCUGGGGCAGUAACUGACGC